CACCAGGAUUGUAUCUGAAUUGAAUGAGUUGGAAUUGACCUUUUGUUAAAUGAGCUGAAUCUCCCGAAAAGAAGAAGCCCAUGAUGGAGAACUGUGGAGUACCAGCAUCUCUGUUGGAGAGUGUUAGAAAGGACUUACUACAGGAGCCUGGGCCUCGUGUGAGGACAAAAUUGGAGACACUGGUUAUUUUCCCCAAGGCUUUGAAUGAAUGACAUGCUUUCGGAUACAAACAGACUCCUUUAAGAAAUCAAUGUUAACUUAGAGAGCCAAUAAAAUCCCCUUGGGAAAAGUGGACCCACAUCUUGUCUACACAAUCCCUGUGCAGGCUUUCUCACCUGUGUGAUCCAUGGCUGAGGCUCAGAAGAAACAAGAGGGAUGGGCCAUCAAUCACCAGAUGAUCCUCAGUGAGGGAUAAUAUCCUCUCAAUAUUUGAGUCACACUUCUACAGAGGACCCCUCAACUGCCCAUCUGUGGGACACGACAGAGGCAAAAUCCUGCCCCUGUCUCUCUCGGACCUGGCUGGAUACUGCUUUCACUAACCCACGAAGCAACCAUGCCCUAACAGCUAGCAAGAGAAUAAGACCCACAGAACAACCACCACCACCUCUCUGUCAGCAGGAAGCAGUUACAAAAGACUGACCUUUCCCAACAAAUUGGGUCUUGAACUCUUGAGGGGGGAAAUGUUAGAGUAGGUAGUUAGGCAGACAUGAGCAGGGCAGGAGAGGUCCCUGCCCAACCCAGGAAUGUCAGGUGACUAUCAGGUUAUGGUCAGGUGGUUGUUAUCUGUCUUGCUAAAAUAAUAAUUGGCUGCAGCUGGUGCCAGGGAACAGUAUCUCCCAAUAGAUGAAAAACAACUGAAGUUGAUGACCAGCAGCUUCCCAAUAAGAUCUCAGGAGUUGGGUGAGUGGGCUCAAGCAUGCACACUAAGAGCUGAAUGGCAGUGUUAACAGGUAAAUGACCUUCUUCUAGGAACGCCUGACUGGUAUGAGAAAAAUGCCUCAACUAAGCCUGUGUACAACUUCAGCAAACACACUGUGCUUGCAGCCCCUCCCAAGUGCUGGCAGGCCACUGAGCAUGCAGACAGCCUACCCCAAAAGAAGUAACGGGGAGAAGUAACACAACCCCAGAAGCAUCUCAAUACAUAAAACUUCAAGUUAAAGAUCAAACAGCACACUUGAAUCUCUCAAGUCACCUGCUUGGCUCUCUUCUAAGUGUACCUUACUUUCUUUUGUUCCUGCUCUAAAACUUUUUAAUAAACUUUCC
rnacentral:lncRNA from 1 species